rnacentral:rRNA from 1 species
AAAUGAAUAGACGGGGACCCGCACAAGCAGCGGAGCAUGUGGUUUAAUUCGAAGCAACGCGAAGAACCUUACCAGGACUUGACAUCCCUCUGACCAGUCCUUAAUCGGACUCUCCCUUCGGGGCAGAGGUGACAGGUGGUGCAUGGUUGUCGUCAGCUCGUGUCGUGAGAUGUUGGGUUAAGUCCCGCAACGAGCGCAACCCUUAUCAUUAGUUGCCAUCAUUAAGUUGGGCACUCUAAUGAGACUGCCGGGGAUAACUCGGAGGAAGGUGGGGAUGACGUCAAAUCAUCAUGCCCCUUAUGUCCUGGGCUACACACGUGCUACAAUGGUCGGUACAGAGAGACGCAAUACGGUGACGUGGAGCAAAUCUUCAAAACCGACCCCAGUUCGGAUUGUAGGCUGAAACUCGCCUACAUGAAGUCGGAGUUGCUAGUAAUCGCAGAUCAGAAUGCUGCGGUGAAUGCGUUCCCGGGUCUUGUACACACCGCCCGU